rnacentral:piRNA from 1 species
UAUAAGAAUAGUCUUAAGAUACAGUG